AGGGUUUCUUCAAGAAUCAUCCCUGAGCUCAAUUCGACCCAUUGAAGAAGAGUUCGAUGGAGUAUUUUGAGAUCAAGAGCUUCGAUAAGUCUCAGAGGUUUAACGUGUCUCAAUCCUAACAUGCAUCUUCUUGAAAAUUCUUCGAACCCCCGCGAUCUGACUGUCGUACUGAGGGGCUGUUUGGUUCACUGCGGCUGUUAUCGCUGCAACACGAGAUGCAUGCAAGUGCAAUUGCUGUAACUACGCUGCAUGCAAGUUAUUUUUCUGACUUCUGUGGGAGAUCUAGGUGCAACUUACAACCCAAUUGCAUCUAAGAAAGGCUGUGACUGCACCUUACGUGAGGAACUGUGUAAGUCGUUAACUACAGUUCGAGUUUUUUUUGGCAAUUUCAGUUGCAAGUUUAUUAGAUACAGUGAGACAAACACCUGCAGCUGACCAGGGCCAAAAAU